rnacentral:rRNA from 1 species
UACAGAGGGUGCGAGCGUUAAUCGGAAUUACUGGGCGUAAAGGGUGUGUAGGUGGACAGGUAAGUUAGAUGUGAAAUCCCCGGGCUUAACCUGGGAACUGCGUUUAAAACUGCUUAUCUAGAGUAAUGUAGAGGAUAGUGGAAUUUCCAGUGUAGCGGUGAAAUGCGUAGAUAUUGGAAGGAACACCAGUGGCGAAGGCGACUAUCUGGACAGAUACUGACACUGAGACACGAAAGCGUGGGGAGCAAACAGG